GACAGAGGGUGCAAACGUUGCUCGGAAUUACUGGGCGUAAAGCGCGUGUAGGCGGAUAGGUAAGUCAGGUGUGAAAUCCCCGGGCUCAACCCGGGAACUGCACUUGAAACUACCUGUCUUGAGUGGUGGAGAGGAGAGCGGAAUUCCUGGUGUAGAGGUGAAAUUCGUAGAUAUCAGGAGGAACACCGGUGGCGAAGGCGGCUCUCUGGACAUCGACUGACGCUGAGACGCGAAAGCGUGGGGAGCAAACAGG
rnacentral:rRNA from 1 species